UUGUCUUCUGUUGCCAUCAGGUCAAGCUGGGCACUCUGGAGAGACUGCCGGUGAUAAACCGGAGGAAGGUGGGGAUGACGUCAAGUCAGCAUGGCCUUUAUGUCUGGGGCUACACACGUGCUACAAUGGCCGACACAAACCGUCGCAAAACCGCGAGGUGGAGCUAAUCGGAUAAAGUCGGUCUCAGUUCGGAUAGCAGGCUGCAACUCGCCUGCUUGAAGUUGGAAUCGCUAGUAAUCGCGGAUCAGCACGCCGCGGUGAACGGAUCCGAAUUCAACGAGCGAAACCCGGCCGUCG
rnacentral:rRNA from 1 species